rnacentral:rRNA from 1 species
UACGUAGGUGGCAAGCGUUGUCCGGAUUUACUGGGCGUAAAGAGCGCGCAGGCGGUCGUUCAAGUCGCGUGUGAAAGCCCCCGGCUCAACUGGGGAGGGUCACGCGAUACUGAUCGACUCGAAGGCAGGAGAGGGUAGUGGAAUUCCCGGUGUAGUGGUGAAAUGCGUAGAUAUCGGGAGGAACACCAGUGGCGAAGGCGGCUCACUGGCCCGGUACUGACGCUGAGGUGCGAAAGCGUGGGGAGCAACAGGAUUAAGAAACCCUUGGU